GACGAACGCUGGCGGCGUGCUUAACACAUGCAAGUCGAACGAAGUGGCGAACGGGUGAGUAACGCGUAAUCAACCUGCCCUUCGGAGGGGGUCAACAGUUGGAAACGACUGCUAAUACCGCAUACUGAAGGAGGGGAUGGCGUCUGAUUAGCUAGUUGGAGGGGUAACGGCCCACCAAGGCGAUGAUCAGUAGGCGGUCUUAGAGGAGGAACGGCCCCAUUUGGACUUAGACACGGCCCAGACUUCUACGGGAGGCAGCAGUGGGGAAGCUUCCGCAAUGGACGAAAGUCUGACGGAGCAACGCCGCGUGAGUGAUGACGGCCUUCGGGUUGUAAAGCUCUGUUAAUCGGGACGCGGUACCGGCAUAGAAAGCCACGGCUAACUACGUGCCAGCAGCCGCGGUAAUUC
rnacentral:rRNA from 1 species